ACUACUGAGAUUCAGUUCUGUUCUGAACAUUGCAGACCUCAGUUUCAUUGUCUUUGCCCUCCCUGUAACAUUUUGAAAACUCUGAAGAGAAAGCCUACAUGUAAACAUUUUAGCCUUGAGUCUAAGUUGAUGGAUUCUGAAAUGGAAGGGAAAGGUCCGAUUUCACCAUCAAAGAUGAAUCAUGAAGCAGUUUCUAUUAUGAUGGAAAACCAAAUGGUCAAGUGUGGCUAUUUCCAUAAAUGGCAAAAGUGACACUCUUGCAUCACAAAUACCCAACAUGUCAUAGUGGCUGACCUCCAAAGGGAGGCCAGUCUACUCACCCUCUGAUACAGAGAAGACCACCUGUCAAAGAAACAGGCAGCUCUGCCAGACAGUUGCCAUCCUUUUACAGAGAUCUUGAAGGCAGAAAUGGCGAGACACAGCCAGUAUCAAAAACAACACAACAGGGAACGCUCUCAGCGGAGACGAAGAAACACAGGGAGCAAAGGAGGAAGAAGACAAGGGCUAAGGAAGAGAAGGACAAGAGGAGGCAAGAGAAACCAUUACAGGAGGCAGGAGUUGCACUGAGACCCUGGCUGCCUUCUCUGCCAUGUGCUGCAGCAUAGAAACAAGCUUCCACAACAACUGCAUGAUGAACAACUCAGGUUUCUUGGAAAAGCCUGGCAUAAGAGCAGCCUAAUGUAACAACUGACUUGAAAUAAACAGGGCUGGAUGCA